UAGAUAACCGUCAAAAACCCUUCUCUUAGAGUAGGAGAAAAGAAGCUCCAUACUUCUCAGGACACACAGAACAACACCUUGGUUUGAGACCUUGACCAUGCUUGCAGAAAUGUGUUUUAGGAGCAGCAAUCAGAAGUGGAAGCGUUCACAGAGGAUGACUGGAAAUUGGUCCAGCUUGGACUUACUUUAUUUCAGAACAUUUUAGCCAUUCAAGACAUCUCGUUGCAGUAGAAGGCUGGGGAGUCCGCAUGCUAGUCGAUUUUUAUCUCAGAGAGACUAUGAUUUUUUGGGGAGUUCAGAAGUUGAAUGUGGGGAAGUAUCCUUCACUGGUCCUAGUAACAAAGAGGACAUUCGAUAAUAAAGCAACUAAUACAUGGUUUUAAUGGAAGUAUUGUUCUUGGAUUUAUCAGAUUUUGGGGAGUUUAUGACACUUUACUAUUCAAAUAGUUCAAGGGGAUAUGCCCAAUUCCAGCUCCUAAGCAAGAUAAAAGAUUGGUUGUAUGUGACAACAACAACAAACAUGAAUAGACUAUGGAGGAGCCUCCAAAGUUAAAUGAUUGAGUGAAGGUUGGGGUGUUUCUCACAAUGCCUGUUGAGGCUUCAUCCGAUGAUAUUUAACAACAGACAGGGUAUCUAUCAGGUCAAAGUCUUCAAUUACAGGCAGAAACACAGUUCUUGAUUGGAAAAUUUGAAAUGUGAUCUUGCAGAUUUGGUAGAAAUGAUAUAUAUGGUUGUGUACAGCUUAUGGAGAAUCUUCAGGCUCAUGGCACAUUAAGGGUUUCUAGAAAAUCAAGAAAGGGGAGAAAGAAGAAAACAUUGAGUGACAAGAAUGAAAAUGAAGAAGAGCAUUGAGAUCAUGCUGUCAUUCAGAAUGAAAUUGGUGUCUCCAAUUGUGGACAGUCCGCAGAUCUGAACAUGUCACAGCAAGAAGCUUAGAAAAUUCUAUUUCUGAUGGGAAACAAGGAGGAUUCGUACAGAUUGGGCCCGAAAUACCUGUGCGUGGGACAGGAAGCCUUGGAGGCAGUCUGCCACGUAUGGAUGUCAGGAAGGCCAAACACAAUACUAAUGAUCUUCAUUAUGGAACUGAUGAUUCUUGGGGUGAUGAGCAGGCAGCUGUGCUUGAUAAAAUUGAUAUUAAGGUGCCUGCCUUGGUUUCUGCUUUUGCAAAUAAGCAUGUUAUCCAAAAUAUAUGUUGGCUGCUUAAAUUUUAUAAGAACAAUUCAACCAGGACACUAUGCAUUUUGCAGAAGAUCUGUGAAGAUUUGGAGCUCUCUCCAAUGUCAUACCAGGUUAGAACUCAACAAACAUUUAUAUGUACAUAUUUUGUUUGACCAAAUUUUGCAGUUAUCACUCCUCACCAUAUUCCACAAUAUCCUGUGUGAGCAGAAGUCAUGUCCAUGGAAGGAUUAUGAAAAUAUUGUUUGUUUUCUGACAAAUUUGGUUAGAAAAUGAAAAGUCAACCCCUUCUUUUUGUGGAAGUUCUCUUCUGGAAAACCGGUAGAGAAUGUCAUUACAUCACUUCCCAAUCUUUAUUGCAUGAACUUGGAAGUCUGUAGAAAGAAAGUGGAAAAUGGAGAAAUAUUUCAAGGCUUGGAGAAAUUGGCUCAACACAAGGCAAUGGAUGGAUGCACAAAAGUAUAGCAGAUGCACUUGGGGAGGAUGAAACUGAUGUUGUGAUCUCUCAUGAGCCUGUAUAUCAAAAGUGAUGAUGAUAUAUUUGCACAGAAUAAAU